ACAGCAGUAGCCGCGGUAAUACGAAGGGUGCAAGCGUUACUCGGAAUUACUGGGCGUAAAGCGUGCGUAGGUGGUGGUUUAAGUCCGUUGUGAAAGCCCUGGGCUCAACCUGGGAAUUGCAGUGGAUACUGGGUCACUAGAGUGUGGUAGAGGAUAGUGGAAUUUCCGGUGUAGCAGUGAAAUGCGUAGAGAUCGGAAGGAACAUCUGUGGCGAAGGCGACUAUCUGGGCCAACACUGACACUGAGGCACGAAAGCGUGGGGAGCAAACAGGAUUAGAUACCCGAGUAGUCCCUGUCUCUUAUAC
rnacentral:rRNA from 1 species